rnacentral:lncRNA from 1 species
CUGUGCUGAGCCUCUGGAAGGGGGAAAGCAGUCUAGUCCCGCAAUGCUUUAGGAGGAUGAUAAUGAAAGUGAAGCAGUUUGCCUGUCCAGCCUUAGAUCUCCGCAGUCUUGGUGCCUUCCUGCCAUUCAGUCUCCUGCUGAGGCUGAGUGCUGUGGGGCUAUUCCUGGUGAUGAAGAGGAUGCUGCCCUGUUGUCCUCCUCCUUAGCUCAUCACCCCUUGCUGAGCAGACCACUUGUGAUGAUCCAGGACUGGGACACAAAGGCCCAUCUGUAAAACAACCAGUUGCUAGAGGCAGCCUCAGAGCAUAUAACUUCUAAAACAAACUCCAAUGAACUGUCUGGACACAUUUCUACUCCCAACUCACCAGCCCUUGCAACCCUGGGGUUUGCUUCUCAUUCUAAGAGAGUACUUCUCUGGUACCCUGUGACCCCU